UCGGACGUGGUACGCGGUGUACACCUGCGGUUAAUUGAUGAGGAUCCUGCGAACUAUAUCGAAGUAGGCGGUCUGGGUUCGACUCCCAGCGUCCGAA